rnacentral:rRNA from 1 species
CCUACGGGGGGCUGCAGGCACGAAACCUUUACAAUGCACGCAAGUGCGAUAAGGGGACUCCGAGUGCAGUCUUCCCACAAGGAAGGCCGCUUUUCUGUACUGUAAGGAGGUACAGGAACAAGGGGUGGGCAACACUGCUGCCAGCCGCCGCGGUAAUAGCAGGACCCCAAGUGGUAGCCGUUGUUAUUGGGCUUAAAGUGUUCGUAGCCGGGCCUGUAAGUCUGCUGUGAAAUCCACGCGCUCAACGUGUGGACGUGCAGCGGAUACUGCAGGUCUAGGUACCGGACGGCGUCGAGGCUAUUCCAGGGGUAGGAGUGAAAUCCAAAAAUCCCUGGAGGAGCACCUGUGGCGAAAGCGCUCGGCGAGUACGGAUCCGACGGUGAGGAACGAAAGCCAGGGGAGCAAAGGGGAUUAGAUACCCCUGUAGUC